ensembl:snRNA U6 U6 spliceosomal RNA
GUGCUUACUUCGGCAGCACAUAUACUAAAAUUGGAACAAUACAGAGAAGAUUAGCAUAGCCCCUGUGCAAGGAUGACAUGCAAAUAUGUGAAGCAUUCCAUAUUUUU